GAUGAAGAACGUAGCAAAAUGCGAUAAGUAAUGUGAAUUGCAGAAUUCAGUGAAUCAUCGAAUCUUUGAACGCACAUUGCGCCCGCCAGUAUUCUGGCGGGCAUGCCUGUUCGAGCGUCAUUUCAACCCUCAAGCACAGCUUGGUGUUGGGACUCGCGUUAAUUCGCGUUCCUCAAAUUGAUUGGCGGUCACGUCGAGCUUCCAUAGCGUAGUAGUAAAACCCUCGUUACUGGUAAUCGUCGCGGCCACGCCGUUAAACCCCAACUUCUGAAUGUUGACCUCGGAUAAGGUAGGAAUACCCGCUGAACUUAAGCAUAUCAAUAAGCGGAGGA
rnacentral:misc_RNA from 1 species